rnacentral:rRNA from 1 species
GACGAACGCUGGCGGCGUGCUUAACACAUGCAAGUCGAACGGUAAGGCCCUUCGGGGUACACGAGUGGCGAACGGGUGAGUAACACGUGGGUGAUCUGCCCUGCACUUCGGGAUAAGCCUGGGAAACUGGGUCUAAUACCGGAUAGGACCACUGCCUGCAUGGGUGGUGGUGGAAAGCUUUUGCGGUGUGGGAUGGGCCCGCGGCCUAUCAGCUUGUUGGUGGGGUAAUGGCCUACCAAGGCGACGACGGGUAGCCGGCCUGAGAGGGUGACCGGCCACACUGGGACUGAGAGACGGCCCAGACUCCUACGGGAGGCAGCAGUGGGGAAUAUUGCACAAUGGGCGCAAGCCUGAUGCAGCGACGCCGCGUGAGGGAUGACGGCCUUCGGGUUGUAAACCUCUUUCAGCACCGACGAAGCGCAAGUGACGGUAGGUGCAGAAGAAGGACCGGCCAACUACGUGCCAGCAGCCGCCGCGC